rnacentral:rRNA from 1 species
AGACCCGAAACCCGGUGAUCUAGCCAUGGGCAGGUUGAAGGUUGGGUAACACUAACUGGAGGACCGAACCGACUAAUGUUGAAAAAUUAGCGGAUGACCUGUGGCUGGGGGUGAAAGGCCAAUCAAACCGGGAGAUAGCUGGUUCUCCCCGAAAGCUAUUUAGGUAGCGCCUCGUGAAUUCAUCUCCGGGGGUAGAGCACUGUUUCGGCUAGGGGGCCAUCCCGGCUUACCAACCCGAUGCAAACUGCGAAUACCGGAGAAUGUUAUCACGGGAGACACACGGCGGGUGCUAACGUCCGUCGUGAAGAGGGAAACAACCCAGACCGCCAGCUAAGGUCCCAAAGUCAUGGUUAAGUGGGAAACGAUGUGGGAAGGCCCAGACAGCCAGGAUGUUGGCUUAGAAGCAGCCAUCAUUUAAAGAAAGCGUAAUAGCUCACUGGUCGAGUCGGCCUGCGCGGAAGAUGUAACGGGGCUAAACCAUGCACCGAAGCUGCGGCAGCGACGCUGAUGCGUUGUUGGGUAGGGGAGCGUUCUGUAAGCCUGUGAAGGUGGCCUGUGAGGGGUGCUGGAGGUAUCAGAAGUGCGAAUGCUGACAUAAGUAACGAUAAAGCGGGUGAAAAGCCCGCUCGCCGGAAGACCAAGGGUUCCUGUCCAACGUUAAUCGGGGCAGGGUGAGUCGACCCCUAAGGCGAGGCCGAAAGGCGUAGUCGAUGGGAAACGGGUUAAUAUUCCCGUACUUGGUGUUACUGCGAAGGGGGGACGGAGAAGGCUAUGUUGGCCGGGCGACGGUUGUCCCGGUUUAAGCGUGUAGGUGUGUGUUCCAGGUAAAUCCGGUUCACUUUAACACUGAGGCGUGAUGACGAGGCACUACGGUGCUGAAGCAACAAAUGCCCUGCUUCC